CGGCAGCACGAGAGAGCUUGCUCUCUUGGUGGCGAGUGGCGGACGGGUGAGUAAUAUAUCGGAACCUGCCCAUUCGCGGGGGAUAACUACUCGAAACAGUGGCUAAUACCGCAUACGCCCUACGGGGGAAAGGGGGGGAUCGCAAGACCUCUCACUAUUGGAGCGGCCGAUAUCGGAUUAGCUAGUUGGUGGGGUAAAGGCUCACCAGGUCACCAUCCCUAACUGGUUUGAGAUGACUGAUCAGCCACACUGGGACUGAGACACGGCCCAGACUCCCUACGGGAGGCAGCAGAGGGGGAAUUUUGGGACAAUGGGGGAAACGCCUGAUCCACCCAUCCCGCGUGUAUGAUGAAAGGCCUUCGGGUUGUAAAGUACUUUUGGCUGGAGAAGAAAAGGCAUCUCGCUAAUACGCCGAUGCUGCUGACGGUAUCUGCAGAAUAAGCACCGGGCUAACUACGUGCCAGCAGCCGCGGUAAUACGUAAGGUGCAAGCGUUAAUCGGAGUUACUGGGCGUAAAGCGUG
rnacentral:rRNA from 1 species